UUAAUCUUACAGAUUGUUGAUUUCCUGUAGUUUAUGUGACCAAUUUAUCCCCGACAUAUAAUACUAAAUCGCUUUUAAAGUUUCUUGUUCAUGUGUUUUACGUCACUUACGUUGAGAAUUUUUCACUCUAUUGAGACAUCAGGACUGUAGGUGAAGUGCCACAAAUUCAGACCUAUUAAAUAUGGCACUCGGAGUUAUGGCAGUGAGAGUUCUUUAGUGUGUCAAUGCCUGCUGUAAUAUUGGACCUCCAUUUUUAAGGUCUCAUCCGAAAGACCUGAGACUCUCACUACUACAUCGGAGGAGCAUAAAAUAAAAUUGUUGAAGCAGUCAACACUACUUAUUUUACAUAUUAGGUUUGAUGACACCUAGGAACUAACAAGAAUCCACGACCUUUUUGGUCAUGAAACAAAUGCUUUAACCAAUAAAAUACAUACUGCAAUCGUAAUUUUGGCUGACUACAAAAAAUUAUCUUCCUGCACCUCUUUGAUAAUAAAAUUAUAUGCUGCAUUAUAAUAACAAUCUUUUAAGGAUGGCCUUAAAAUCUCUCAAACCAAGGUUACUUUAUUUUAUUCAAACAAUCUACCUAAAUUGAUAAAAAAUAAAAUUCAAUAUUUAAAGGAUGAGAGAGUUUGACAGUAUGAUGUAAAUGAUAGCCAUGCAUGUCUAGCACCCUCACCCAACUUAUCAGCAUCUGCAGUGAAAAUUAUAUGCACAAUUACAUGUAUAAGUACUUAGCAUUUAAUCACAUACAUGUACUGUAACAAUAAACAAAUAUUGAUGCCUCUUCUUUAAACUUCCAAUGUUCUUAUUACUGGCAUUUAAGGUUGUAUACGAAUUUCUGCCAUUUAUUUCUAAAACUUUUUUUUGUUUCCUUGAUACCCAGAGUUCUUCCAUAAUUUACAAAAUAGGGUUAAAUUGUAUGGUAUUGGCCUGUUUAAUGCAAGUUAAUUAGUAAUGCAAGUUUAAUCUCUGAUUGAUCCAAAGAUUUAAAAUUGGCUAUAAUGACAUCAUAAUGUGCACAUUCAUAUGUAUAUAUAUACAUAUUAUUACUAUAUGUUAACUUGAUCGGUCUGAUAACAUGAGUUGACCGUUUCAGAUCUGAUGAUCCACGCCUGUCAAUGAGAUGUAAUCCAACUCUUUGGAUCAAGUUGCUGUAGAGUAAUGAUAAAUUUAUCAAAUACCCCCUUAUGAAUUUUUAAACACACAUUUAUAUGAUAUUUAUGAAUGUAUUCCAAAUUAUCAAAGAGACAAACAUUCAGGGAAAUUAUUUUUUGUGUAUACAGUUUUGUUUGUGACACGUCAGUCGAUCAUUUUCCACAAAAAAAGUCUGUUAAUAUAUUGUGACAUCAUCAGUUUCAGAGACAUGAUCAUCCAGUCGGAUCACACUCCGUGAUCUAGCUGUGACAGCAUUCGAACACGGAUUAUUGAUGGGUAUGUAAUAAACAACCUUCUGUAAUACAAAAGAGUUGACAUUAAAUUUUUACUUGCAAUAAUAAGGAACUAUUAAAACAUCCUAACUUUAAAACAGACUUAAUGAUUAUAUAAUCCCAAGGUUUUGUUUUUUUUGUUUUGUUUUUUUUAAUGUAUAGGAACAACACAGAAUCCAAGUGCAUUGUACCUGAAAUGUCACAAAAAAUUGUAUAUUAUUGAGAAACGCCACAUGUCCUAAAAAACUUAAACUAUUUUGCAAUUUCAAAAGAGUCUGCACUCAUUUUCAGCCUGUUUUAUUAUCACUCACAUAUGUACACAUUGGAAACAAUUACAUCCAGUUUUAAUUCACUUAUUAUUCGCAAGACUUAAUUUCCAUGAAAUAAUAUAAUGGCAUUAUAUUCUUUAGUAAAACGUAUUUUUCAUAUAUCAUUGAAAUAUGUUACUACAGAAAGGCUAUAAGAAGUAUCUUAUAUUCUGUUUCUUGUAACACAAUUACCGUAAGUAACUGAAAACUAAUCAGGUAUUAUCACCUGGUGUUUCUUUAAAUAGAUAUAAAAUCCACGUGUUCCGUCAGUACUCUGAAGUCAACAUAUUGACACAUUCUACAUGCACCUCAACAAGUUUCUUUGUUGUUGUUUUUUUCACCCACGAAAUCCAAGUAUCAAUAGUACAACUGAAAGCGUUAGAAAUAGUAUUACUAAUAUUACCGAUAUAGCUCACACCAUUCCAAGAAUUUAAAAAGCGAAAUUCACAAUAAAAGAAGAGAUCAGUAUUCUUGAAGCAGGGGCAGAUCGCCAUUUCCCACUGAACACAUACUGAAAAGUUGGCGAUAUUUUAAUUAACUUGUUUUGCUUAUAUCAUAGAAGGAGUGGCAAUAAAUCGGGCAAAUACAAUAUAUCAUGGUACUAUACAUCAAUCCCGACUCAAUAACGCAUGAAAAAAAAUGCCUCGGAUAUCUGUCUAAGAAUUCAUUUUUUGGAACUUAGAUGUUAGAAGUUCUGUGUUGAGUUUGCUUUCUAACAGAAAUUCCAGAUUAAAUCCUCCUUUUCUUCCACAGAUAUGCUAUAUUGUAUGUUGAACAAUUCUUAAUCUGCUAAGUCCACAUUUGUACAACAUAGUUAGCAGCUGUGGUAAAAGCACAUAAAAAUACUGUGUUGACACAUGUAUGCAAACACGCAUACAUACAAUGACAUCUGCCUUGUAAAAUACAACAAACAUGUCAUCAUUUGGUAGUCCAACAGUGGAACUAUUUUCAUAUUUCUGAUAGGACACACUUGUUCAUGUCUGUCGAUAUUAGAAUAUUUUCAAAACAGAAUUUUAAUCUAGAAAUAUUCACUGUAUUUUGAUCUCAAUGUCAUUUAAGUAUUCAUAUAUAAUUACUUUAUUCUUCCUCAUAAGCAGUCAUAUAUCCAAAUUAGACACCCACUCUCAGUAUUUUCCAUUUACAAAAAUUAAAAGCCCCCAUAUAUUUUAUUGUGAUUUUUAAUACUUCUCUUACAAUAGAAUUUUCUUCUAGUUUUUGUCCGUUUUAUAAGGAAAAAUUGCAGUGCAGACCUAUAGCAGCAAGGGGAAAUAUGUACAGUGCAGACCUAUAGCAGCUGCCAGCAUAUGACAUAGCAUGUCAUCAUUGCAAUUCCAUUGCUUGUUUGUGUAUCAAUUAUGAUUUAUUUAAUAUUGAAUUUACAAAAUAUAUAAUUACUUUCAAAAUUUUCUUAAUUUGAUCCUAAAAACACACACUAUGAAAUGAUGGUUAGUUAUAUAUUGUUUAACAUAUCACUCAAGAAUUUUUCACUCACAUGGAGACGUCACCAUUGCCGGUGAAUGGCUGCAAAAUUUACGCCUUUGCUCGGCGCUUAUGGCCUUUAAGAAGGAAAGUAUCUUUAUCGUGCCACACCUGCUGUGAAACAGGGCCUCAGUUUUUGCAGUCUCGUCCAAAGGACCAUGGUGCACCCCAUUUAGUCGCCUCUUAUGACAAGCAAGGGGAGGACCUAGCUAUUCUAACCCAGAUCCCCAGGGUGUUUAGAGAUAUUGUAGUCUCAGAAGGGUUGCCCCAUGACCUUUAUCCUUGUGAGCUAAUCCCUGAUUCUUAAAAAUUCAUAUUCAGUAUGAAAUGGGUAGUAAAAGCUAAGAGCUGGAUAAAACCCUGAAUUACGAGAAUGCUAAGAAAUACUUUAAAUUAUGCUGAAUAGGGCUGAAACAAUUCACCGAAUUAUCAAUAUUGUUCAAUGUAAACGCUUGAUUCAAAGUUUGAUUCAUAGCCUCGAUCUCCAGUUUGACCCAUUUUAAAAAAUCGGGUUUGGUAAAAUACAUUGGGCUUGACAGCUAGUACUUAUUAUUUUUACAUGCACGAGGGGCAAUAUGGCACCUGAUAAUGGUCAGACUGUUGUUAGCCUUGAGUCUGUCACAAUUUCAAAAGUAAACCGUUUCCAAACCACUGAACGGUAACAUGCCUGUUGGCUGUGUAGUUCACACAGAUUAGUUCAUUAUAAAUAAUUGUUUUUGUCAGACUCAAAGCUAACAACCGUGGCGUAAGUAUUGCUAUAUGUAUCAUAUCAUGAAGCAGGAAAUAUUGAACCGUGGCAUAAGUAUUGCUAUAUGUAUUGUAUAGCAGGAAAUACUGAACUGUGGCAUAAGUAUUGCUAUAUGUAUCAUAUCGUGAAGCAGGAAAUAUUGAACUGUGGCAUAAGUAUUGCUAUACGUAUCAUAUCGUGAAGCAGGAAAUAUUGAACCGUGGCAUAAGUAUUGCUAUAUGUAUCGUAUAGUAGGAAAUAUUGAACCAUGGCAUAAUUAAGUAUUGCUAUACGUAUCAUAUCGUGAAGCAGGAAAUAUUGAACCGUGGCAUAAGUAUUGCUAUAUGUAUCGUAUAGUAGGAAAUAUUGAACCAUGGCAUAAGUAUUGCUGUACGUAUCGUAUCGUGAAGUAGGGGGAGCAUCAUUUCAACCCUGAAAAUAAUGCUGCGUUUUGGCUUGCUGAGAAAUUUAUUCUUAAUAUGCUGAAAAUACUGUUUCAUGGCAAUGAAUUACUUUCACAAACGAUCCCACCUUUUUUUUUUUUUACUUUGUUCUUCAGUAUAACCUUGACCUUUUUCAAUAUCCUUGGUCUCCAGUCUGACACACCCUCAAGCCCUAGACAAUAUCUUCUUUAUGGGCAAGUCCUAUCGUUCUAACAACAGUGAGUCACUUCACUUGAUCACUUGCGCAAAUUUUUGGCGAGGUUUCUAUAGAUUUCAAUGAAAUAGGUUUUACUUUUGUUCUCAGUGACUGAUCACAUUGAAUUAAUGCAUUGUAUAGGCAUCAAAAUUCACUUUUAUCAAAGUCAAUCAGUGAGUAAAAUUUACAUGCUCGAUCAAGCGACACACUGUUAUUGGAAC